UGGCCAUUAGCAUUCUGGCUUCCACAUCCUUGGCGUACACUGUUCUCUGGGGAUCCCUGAGGUCUAUGACACGUAGUAAUUUGUCAUUUUGCAGCAUCAUUAAUUUGGUUUUUGAGAGCCAUUUGCUUCAUCAGUGAGUGGGUUUGAGAACUCCAGCAUGCAUACCUCAGCAUGGCUGUUGAGGUUUACAAGGUGGCUCAGCGGUAAAGAAUCCACCUGCAAUUCAGGAGUUGUGGGUUCGAUCCCUGGGUCAGGAAGAUCCCCUGGAGAAGGAAAUGGCAACCCACUCCAGUAUUCUUACCUGGACAAUCCCAUGGGCAGAAGAGCUUCGAGGGCUAUAAUCCAUGGGGUGGCAAAAGAGUCGGACACGACUUAGUGACUAAACAACAACAACUCUUUGGCAAAGGGAACUAUGCUCAGUAUCUUAUAAUAAACUAUACGAGAAAAGAAUUUGAAAAAAGUGUGUAUAACUGAACCACUUUGCUGUACACCUGAAACGAACACAACAUUGUAAAUCAACUGUAGUUCAAUAAUAAAUAAGUAAAGUUUAAAAAUAGACAAAAAAUAAAAGCUAGAUUCUUUUUUCUUCCUGUUUUCCUCACUUCUGUGUACACACUUACUGAGCCCCUACCCAAGCCAUGGGCUUUAUACACACAGGCUGCACAGCCCCAGUUCUCAAGACCUGACAGCCUGGGUGGGGAGACAGGCAGGUGGACAGAUGGGUUAUACCUCCAGGCUGGGAACUCAGAGGUCAGUGUGACCAUCCUGGCCUGUGGCUCUAGGGAAGAGCUAUGGAGG
ensembl:lncRNA